rnacentral:rRNA from 1 species
ACUGCUCAGUAACACGUGGAUAACCUGCCCUUGGGUCCGGCAUAACCCCGGGAAACUGGGGAUAAUUCCGGAUAACGCACAUAUGCUGGAAUGCUUUAUGCGUAAAAUGGAUUCGUCUGCCCAAGGAUGGGUCUGCGGCCUAUCAGGUAGUAGUGGGUGUAAUGUACCUACUAGCCAACAACGGGUACGGGUUGUGAGAGCAAGAGCCCGGAGAUGGAUUCUGAGACAUGAAUCCAGGCCCUACGGGGCGCAGCAGGCGCGAAAACUUUACAAUGCGGGAAACCGUGAUAAGGGGACACCGAGUGCCAGCAUCAUAUGCUGGCUGUCCAGGUGUGUAAAAUACACCUGUCAGCAAGGGCCGGGCAAGACCGGUGCCAGCCGCCGCGGUAACACCGGCGGCCCGAGUGGUGAUCGUGAUUAUUGGGUCUAAAGGGUCCGUAGCCGGUUUGGUCAGUCCUCCGGGAAAUCUGACGGCUUAACCGUUGGGCUUUCAUGGGAUACUACAUUGCUUGGGACUGGGAGAGGUAGGAGGUACUCGGGGGGUAGGGGUGAAAUCCUGUAAUCCUCCGGGGACCACCGGUGGCGAAGGCGUCCUACCAGAACAGGUCCGACGGUGAGGGACGAAAGCUAGGGGCACGAACCGGAUUAGAUACCCGGGUAGUCCUAGCCGUAAACGAUGCCCGCUAGGUGUCACGACGGUCGUGAAUCGUCGUGGUGCCGUAGGGAAGCCGCGAAGCGGGCCACUUGGGAAGUACGGCCGCAAGGCUGAAACUUAAAGGAAUUGGCGGGGGAGCAC